GACGGACGCUGGCGGCGUGCCUAAUACAUGCAAGUUGAGCGCUGAAGGUUGGUACUUGUACCAACUGGAUGAGCAGCGAACGGGUGAGUAACGCGUGGGGAAUCUGCCUUUGAGCGGGGGACAACAUUUGGAAACGAAUGCUAAUACCGCAUAAAAACUUUAAACACAAGUUUUAAGUUUGAAAGAUGCAAUUGCAUCACUCAAAGAUGAUCCCGCGUUGUAUUAGCUAGUUGGUGAGGUAAAGGCUCACCAAGGCGAUGAUACAUAGCCGACCUGAGAGGGUGAUCGGCCACAUUGGGACUGAGACACGGCCCAAACUCCUACGGGAGGCAGCAGUAGGGAAUCUUCGGCAAUGGACGAAAGUCUGACCGAGCAACGCCGCGUGAGUGAAGAAGGUUUUCGGAUCGUAAAACUCUGUUGGUAGAGAAGAACGUCGGUGAGAGUGGAAAGCUCAUCAAGUGACGGUAACUACCCAGAAAGGGACGGCUAACUACGUG
rnacentral:rRNA from 1 species